rnacentral:lncRNA from 1 species
CCGUCUUUGUUUACACUUAUGGUUUCAUGCCAAGUAAGGGAGAGAAGUUCAGAUAUGGUGCCAAGUAAGAUAGAGAAAAAUUGGAGGACUGUGCUUUGAGAAAAAGAUUUUCUAUCUGACUUGACUUGGGUGAAGUGCAUAUAAAUAAAGCAUCUUAUCCUAUAGUGCCAUUUAAGGCAGCAUCCUUUUUGUACUUCAGGGCUAAGGCAGCACUUUUUUUCCCUUAUUAGUAUAGAUAUCAACAUUCAAAUUGACACCUUCUAAUAGGGCUGGACAAAAUAUCCAAAUCCACCCGAAUCCGUGCAAACCGGCCCAUAAAAAAUCGAAGCGGGCGGAUUGAGUCGGUUGGCGGGUCACACGGGUAGAAAAAAACGGAUUAAGGUGGAUACAAGUGGAUCGGUUCGGAUGCCAAUAUUUAGACCAUCGGUGCCCACACCCGUCCGAUUAUAUGUAGUAGUACAAUGCUUACAGCCUUAAUCGUUGAUUCACAGGGUAUAUGGUUCAGUGCACUAAUCAAUGCUAUACUAGAAACUAAAAAUAAGAGAAAUUUAAUAAUCUAUAAAUUUUAAUUAUUAGAGCAGUUGACUAGCUGUUAUCUACUCUACCUAUACAUAUUAUAAUUAAAUAAAAUUAAAAUGAAACGGUUCCACUUUAAUACAUUAAAUUAUUUCUUUUUAUAAUUUUUUUGUCCCAUUGAGAUAACAUAUCCUCACACUCUCUCUUCCUUCUUCAAGUUUUAAGUUCUUUUUAUCACUUUUCUUUAUGUUAUAUGUUUCUCUUCCUUUCCAAUUUUUAUAGAUCUCUCAGUUCUCAGUUUGAAAUGGUUGUUUAGAUACCAAUUUGAUGCUGCUUCAGCAUGAAAGCUAUGAGCAUAUGUUGAAACUGCAACGGAUAUGUUACCAUCAUAGUUGCAACCGCUCUGAUGCGGCGGUUCCAAGCUCUUUGAAUCUGAAUAGUGACUCUCCUUUUUCUUUUUUUCCUUCUUCUUCUACACCCGUAUGUAACCACCCGACCCACCCGCUAACCGUUCAACCCGUCAUCCGACAAAUCCGAUCAUUGCACUGGACGGAAAUGGGUUGUUAUUUGUCAACCGAGGAUUCGAUCGGAUUGACGAAAACGGACAGUAAAAAAAAAAAACAGACCGAAAACGUCAAUCCGAUCGAAUCCACGGUUGACAAAUAACAACCCAUUUCCGUCCAGUGCAAUGAUCGGAUUUGUCGGAUGACGGGUUGAACGGUUAGCGGGUGGGUCGGGUGGUUACAUACGGGUGUAGAAGAAGAAGGAAAAAAAGAAAAAGGAGAGUCACUAUUCAGAUUCAAAGAGCUUGGAACCGCCGCAUCAGAGCGGUUGCAACUAUGAUGGUAACAUAUCCGUUGCAGUUUCAACAUAUGCUCAUAGCUUUCAUGCUGAAGCAGCAUCAAAUUGGUAUCUAAACAACCAUUUCAAACUGAGAACUGAGAGAUCUAUAAAAAUUGGAAAGGAAGAGAAACAUAUAACAUAAAGAAAAGUGAUAAAAAGAACUUAAAACUUGAAGAAGGAAGAGAGAGUGUGAGGAUAUGUUAUCUCAAUGGGACAAAAAAAUUAUAAAAAGAAAUAAUUUAAUGUAUUAAAGUGGAACCGUUUCAUUUUAAUUUUAUUUAAUUAUAAUAUGUAUAGGUAGAGUAGAUAACAGCUAGUCAACUGCUCUAAUAAUUAAAAUUUAUAGAAUAUUAAAUUUCUCUUAUUUUUAGUUUCUAGUAUAGCAUUGAUUAGUGCACUGAACCAUAUACCCUGUGAAUCAACGAUUAAGGCUGUAAGCAUUGUACUACUACAUAUAAUCGGACGGGUGUGGGCACCGAUGGUCUAAAUAUUGGCAUCCGAACCGAUCCACUUGUAUCCACCUUAAUCCGUUUUUUUCUACCCGUGUGACCCGCCAACCGACUCAAUCCGCCCGCUUUGGUUUUUUAUGGGCCGGUUUGCACGGAUUCGGGCGGAUUUGGAUAUUUU